UCUUUGUGUUUUUUUUUUUUGGUUAAUGGAAAUCGUAGUUGAUUAAUCACGUGAUUUGUAUGGUAGAGUCCGGUAUUUGAAUUUCUAUGUAAACAGGAAAAAAAAUUGAUUUUGUUGAUUAUGAAAUUUAAACUGAAAUGAUGAAUUUUGGGAGCAGAAACCAUUGAGGGUAGGAACUUUUAAUGUGAAUUUUACUGCUGGGUUUAAAAUAUUAUAUUUUUAAUGCUUCAUUCUGAAUGUGUUACUGUACCACUAAUCUGUUUUGAAAUUCAAUUUGAGCGCUUUAGAAUUUUCUUUUUGUUAAAAAGAGUAGGAAAAUAAUUGAGUGAAUGCAUUAGACAAAAAGCCUUAAUUUUUCCCCUUUAUUUGGAUUAUGCAUUUUUAGGUUUUUAAGGCUGGAAAUAGAGCAUGAGCAGUCAGACUCAGGGGGUGAGAGGCCCUACGUUAAGGGGGUAUCGGAGGAGGAAGGCAAUGCUUGACUUAAAUGUGCCUCCAAGUGAAAGCAGGGAUCAGGAAGGAACUUCAACUCAGGAUGUGCGACAUGGGGUGCAAGCAAGCCAACAAGGGCAGCCUGUACCACCUACUACAAUUGAUGUUGAGGCUUUUGAUGAUGAUGUUAUUGAAUCUUCCCCGAGGGCUUUUGCUGAAGUAUGCUUUCUGUCUCUCUCUCUUUUCCCAUUAAUGUUCUUAUUUUGAACGAAAACCUUUUGUUUUGUUUAAUUUCAUUUUAGGCUAAAAGUAAUGCCCAAAGAAACAAUGCCCAAAGAACUCAUGGAAGGACUGUUGUGGUCGAUGUAGAUUCAGGACGAACAACUAGGUUGAAUUAUAAUAACCAUAACAAGCGCAGAAGAGUUCUACCAAAUCAAACAAUUAUCAAUUGUGAGCAUUAUGUAAAUUUGGAAAGCAGUAGCAGCUCCACGGUAAUACCUGAAAGCAUAUGCCUAUGCUCCGCUUGUCUAUCUCCUAUCGGUCAUUGUUUUCUUGUUGAGUUUUAGAACAGCAUACUGUUUUUAGAGAUGUAUCAUUAUACUUAAUGCUGUUAAGGUGGAUGAUUGGCUUGAGAUACUUUAACUUGUCCAUCAUACUUCGUGAUCUUUUCUGUGUCCCUCCAUAUUUUUCUAUGUUGAUUGUGCUAAAAGAUAUUGCAAAUAAUGUUUGAUUUAGGAAACUUAAAUGCGGUUAAAACGUGCUGACUGCUAUAGUUAAAUUUGAGUUGGUGUAGCUCUGAUGGCUUUAUGAACAGAAUUUAUCUGUUGACUUGUUGCUUUCACACAACUUUUAGGAUCUUAAUCUUUGCAUUAAUGGAUGGGGAUUACUUUGGGCACCUGGAUUUUGCUGCUGGAGUUAUAAUUUUAUUUUGUUGAUUAAGUUCAUAAUUAAUUGCAUUGGAGAAUGGAAGAAUAGUGUACGACUAAUGAUUGGACAUUGUUUAUUUCACUCAUUUUAAUGGAUGUUUUUAAAGUUGUGAGGCUUACAGUUAUAGUUUUUUGGCAGAGAGAUGAUGUACAGCCAACCCAACCUCCAAAGGAGCCAACCUUCAAUUGUCCAAUUUGCAUGGGUCCAUUUGUUGAGGAGACGUCAACAAAAUGCGGGCAUAUUUUCUGUAAGGCUUGCAUUAAGGCUGCUAUUAGCGUACAAGGAAAAUGUCCUACAUGUAGGAAAAAAGUCGCUGUUAAAGAACUUAUUCGGGUGUUCCUUCCAGCAACAAGUUGAUUGAGAUGCUUAUGGCCAAUUGCUAUUUCAUCAGGUUGAUAGAAACAGUUAUGAGAUGGGGGGAUGAAACAGUGGCUGUAGCAUGUAUGUGGAUUAUUAUUAUUGUAUUUUUUUUACUUGAAACUUGGACUUUCUCUAACCUGUGCGGUUCAAAUUGAUAUACCAAAAGGCAAUAGUGGAUUUUGUUUUUUGGGGUCAAAUUUACUUCAAAUGUUUGAUGAGCUAAAUUUAUCAGGUAAUCAGAUGACAACAGAAAUUCUAUGAAAUUUAUGUUUAGUUUAUUUAAGUCUAUAAUCCUAUUAUUCCCCUAUUAAAAAAAAGUUUAUUAUCCUGUUCAUGAUAAUUAAUAUAACAUUUUCAGGAUAAUGACCGGUGAAAC
rnacentral:misc_RNA from 1 species